rnacentral:tRNA from 1 species
GAAACAAGACACCCAUUUCAGGAUUUCUAAUCCAUGUUAUUAGAGGUGAAACUCCUUUAUUGUUUCU